rnacentral:lncRNA from 1 species
AAAUUCACAAUCUUGGAGGCACCAGCUCAGCAAAACCGCCUAAUCCUUGUGAUCAAUCUCCGGUGUGAGCGUGCCCUUGGUGAUAAAGAUAUUGGUGAAGUCAACGUCCCAAUCAAGGAGUUAUUGGAAACCAUGGGAGAUGGAAAAUCUAUGCAAUUUGUUAGUUAUCAGGUCAGGAAGCCAUCAGGAAAGCCUAAAGGUCAGUUAAAUUUUUCUUAUAAGUUUAGUGAGAAGGCUAUUGUCUCAGGACCUGAAAAAGUGAGCGAAAAGGCCAACCAACCAGUCACUGCAUAUCCUGCUCCGCCGCCUGCUGGGAUUGGCUCUAGUUCAGCACCUUAUGGUGCUCCUGGGCCUUAUCCACCUCCACCACCAAGCGAUCCAGUCCCACCAAUGGCAAAUUAUAGUUACCCACCACCUGCAUAUGCUGGAUAUCCACCACCACCUGCAUAUGCUGGAUAUCCACCGCCGCUGCCACAGCCAUAUGCUGGAUACCCACAACAAGCUCAUCCGCCAGGACAUGGAUACCCGCCGCCGCCUCCACCCGCAGGUUAUGGGUAUCCACCGGUUCAGGCUGGAUAUGGAUAUCAACCAGUGCAACAACCGGCAAAGAAGAACAAAUUUGGAAUGGGAUUGGGAGCUGGCUUGUUAGGAGGAGCAAUUGGUGGGCUUUUGAUCGGAGAUAUGGUGUCUGAUGCUGCAUCUUAUGAUGCUGGGUAUGAUGCAGGAUUUGAUGAUGCCGGUGGAUUUUGAUUCUCUCAAUUUUUUCUUCUUGUUAAUGUUUUUGUCAGACUUAUCUUAUGGGAUGUUAAUGGUUGGUGUAGAAUAAAUGAUGGAUUUUGUCUUUUAAGAAUCUGGAUAUUUUCUCCUUAAUGAUCUCAUCUCAGUCUUAAUUAAUCUAAGACGCUGCACUUUUCUGAUUACUUCCCCUUCUUUAUUGCGUACACGACAGAGGCGAAUCUUCCAAAGUGGAUACCACUUUUUGAGUUCAGAAUUAGAAUAUUCUCUUCAAAGUUUCUAUGUGAUGCUACUUUAUUACCAAGAAAAUAAAAGAAAGGCUCGUUCUAGAAAAACUUGCACCAUUCACCGGCGGACAAAAGACAAACAGGAAAUAACAAUUCCGGCAAGAAUAGCAGAUGGAACAAGCUGUCUAUUUCUUGUUCAACUACAUCAAGCAAAUUAUUCAAGACUUGAGCUUUUCUUUAUUUACACCGUAACAUGACCGAGCCAUGGCAAUCAAGAUAAUUG